rnacentral:rRNA from 1 species
AUGAGUCUGCGGACUAUCAGGUAGUAGUCAGGGUAAAGACCUGACUAGCCUACGAUGGAUAUGGGUUGUGAGAGCAAUAACCCGGAGACGAUAUCUGAGACACGAUAUCGGGCCCUACGGGGCGCAGCAGGCGCGAAAACUUCACACUGUGCGAAAGCACGAUGAGGGAAUCCCAAGUGCUUGCUCGUAAGAGUAAGCUGUUUUUAUGUCUAAAAAGCAUAGAGAGUAAGGGCUGGGUAAGACGGGUGCCAGCCGCCGCGGUAAUACCUGCAGCUCAAGUGGUGACCACUAUCAUUGGGCCUAAAACGUUCGUAGCCGGUUUAUUAAAUGCUUGGGUAAAUCGUGUAGCUUAACUAUACGAAUUCCGGGUAGACUGAUACACUUGAGACCGGGAUAAGCUAGAGGUACUCCUGGGGUAUAGGUGACAUUCUGUAAUCCUGGG